GGAAGGAUCAUUAUCGUAUUAACUUGAACAGGCUGUUGCUGCCUCGUGUGUGCACGCUUGUCUCAUAUUUAUUAUUUCUUCCAACUGUGCACAUUUUGUAGAUCCCUGGAAUGAAUGAGCUUCUCAUUCGAGUCGGGACUGCUGUUGCUUUUCUCUUCGAAAGGCCGGCUUUGCCUUUGCAGGGUCUAUGUCACUUUUCACAACCCACUCAUGUUUAGAAUGUUGAUAAAAAAAAAGUGAAAAUAUACAACUUUCAGCAACGGAUCUCUUGGCUCUCGCAUCGAUGAAGAACGCAGCGAAAUGCGAUAAGUAAUGUGAAUUGCAGAAUUCAGUGAAUCAUCGAAUCUUUGAACGCAUCUUGCGCUCCUUGGUAUUCCGAGGAGCAUGCCUGUUUGAGUGUCAUUUGACUUUAUCAACCACUUCAGAUUUUUCUUUUUGAAUGUGGCUUGGAUGUUGGAGGUCUUUUUGCGGGCUUUUUCCAUCUUGGGAAAGGGUCAGCUCCUCUGAAACAUAUUAGUGGCAUCUGAGCUGGCUACUAUAGGUGUGAUAACUAUCUAUGCCUUUGGUACGCUGCAUGAAACAGAUUGCGCUGCUUUACAAAACCUUUUUGACAAACUUGACCUCAAAUCAGGUAGGACUACCCGCUGAACUUAAGCAUAUC
rnacentral:misc_RNA from 1 species